AAACUUUCAACAAUGGAUCUCUUGGUUCCGGCAUCGAUGAAGAACGCAGCGAAAUGCGAUAACUAAUGUGAAUUGCAGAAUUCAGUGAAUCAUCGAGUCUUUGAACGCACAUUGCGCCCCCUGGUAUUCCGGGGGGCAUGCCUGUCCGAGCGUCAUUA
rnacentral:rRNA from 3 species